UGCCAGAAAUCAUGAUUUAGCAUGAUUUUCAUGUUUUUUGAACUAAAAUCAUGUUUUAAUGUUUUCGUGCCCAAAAUCAUGUUUUUUUUUUUAAUCCAAGAGAAAAAUCUUUAUAAUCUUUUUGUAAGCCCACAAUCUUUUUCACUAGAUGAACUGUUAUUUUUAAUGGGGGUUAUCAUGAAUAAAAAUUUCCCUCGAAAUGUUUCCCAUGUUUUAAAUAUGGGAUCGAAAAUGAUCAUUAAAAGUUUCCCUCGGAAUUUAUUGGUAUCGGCAAUCAAUUUUCCAGGGGAAUGUAGACAUCAUUUCUUACGAUUUUUUGCUAACUGAAAAUAAAUUCCGAGGGAGAUUCAGGAUCGCACAAUAAAUUCCGAGGGAAACAAAAUUCCCCUCGAGAUUCACGAUAGGGCCCAAUAAGUCAUUCAAUACCUACAUGAAGUAUGUAUAUAUGAAAUUAACCUUAAAUGAGUACAAAUUAUAAACUGAUUUAUGUUUUCAAGUUUUAUUCCCGCCAUUUUUGUAAUUUAAGUUAUAAUUACAAUGGCCACCAUUUGAAAAAAAGUGGGUAAAUUACAAAAGCAAAUAAUUAUUUUUUCCUUCAAAGGGCAAUUUUUCCCGAAAAAAACCAUUGUAUAUAUAUUCCUAUAGUACUCUCAUGAAGUAGAAUUUUCUGUUUUGCGUCGCCACCGCUUUGAUCGCUAGUUUAUCUUAUAUUUGAACCUUAUGCAGAAAAUUGAAAUGCAGAUCUACCAAAACAUGUCGCUAAAGUAUUUUCUUCGAUUGAUAGUACUAUAGAAAUAUAUAUACAAUGAAAAAACUAUAAACGUUUUGAAGCCAAGAUCUAAGAAUUCUCCAUCAUAAAAUGAGUUUGAUAAUUUUCACUUAAAGAAUUUUUACAAAAAGUACCCUGUGUAGUUAUACCUCUGAUUCUAAAAUAAACUCGAAAAAAUUUGUUUUAUUCACCCCUAGUCACGAUGUGGUUGUUCAUUUUCUUUCAAAUUUUGCUUUUUUUUAUAAAUCAUGUUUUUUGAACUGAAAUCAUGUUUUUUAUCAUGUUUUUUUAAAUUUCGAAAUGGCAGCACUGGGACUCAGAAUAAAAUAACUUAUUCUGAGUCCAUCGAUCGCGCUUUGAACAAGCUCAGAAUACUUUCAGAACGAAAAAAGAAAUUGAAGCUCUAAAUGUUGAGAGCUCAUUUGUUUGUAGCCAUUUGUGUAUUUCAGCACUACCGUUGCACUAUUUUUCGUUCAACAUACACACAACACAGAGAAGGAAUCCGAUAUAGGUAUUGGAAAUUUUGACAGCUCAAAAAAUGUAAUAGAAAAAAAUAAAUGAAAUAGGAUGCUGUUUGUUGGGCCGAUAUUUGAUGAUGAACAAGAAGAAAAGAAGAGCGGUGACGGUGAGGGAGGGAGGAAGAGAGAUUUUUUGGAUUCUUCUAUUUAUUUAUCACUUGGGCUCUCUUUUUGGCACACACUCAUUUACUUAUGAAAAAUCAAAAAAAAAAAAUCCCUUGCCCGGCUGUGUGGAA